CCUACGGUGGGCAGCAGUGGGGAAUAUUGCACAAUGGGGGAAACCCUGAUGCAGCGACGCCGCGUGAGUGAAGAAGUAUUUCGGUAUGUAAAGCUCUAUCAGCAGGGAAGAAAAUGACGGUACCUGAUUAAGAAGCCCCGGCUAACUACGUGCCAGCAGCCGCGGUAAUACGUAGGUGGCAAGCGUUAUCCGGAUUUACUGGGUGUAAAGGGCGUGUAGGCGGGAAAGGAAGUCAGAUGUGAAAACCAUGGGCUCAACCUGUGGCCUGCAUUUGAAACUGUUUGUCUUGAGUACUGGAGAGGCAGACGGAAUGCGUGGUGUAGCGGUGAAAUGCGUAGAUAUUAGGAGGAACACCAGUGGCGAAGGCGGUCUGCUGGACAGCAACUGACGCUGAGGCGCGAAAGCGUGGGUAGCGAACAGGAUUAGAUACCCGUGUAGUC
rnacentral:rRNA from 1 species